ACAGAUUGUCCUAGUGUCAUCCAUCAAGGAUGCCUAUCGCCCUCCUAUAUUACAUGGGAAUCUCUUUCAGAGGAAUGAUGCAAAUGUGAAGCCUUCGUUUAGCCCAUGUGGAGCCAGGCUACCAAGACGGAUUCACAAAUUCCUUUUUUGGUGUCAUCUUUUUGCAGAAUAUACAAUCGCCACACGGGUAGGACCCCUGAUUACUCAGCCAGGU